rnacentral:lncRNA from 1 species
CCUGCUCAACUUAGAUCUUUCAUGAGAGUAAUACAAAAAUAAGAUAAUUAAGAAAGUAGGAUUUUGAAUCAUCUUUUCUUUCAUUACAGAUAGGUAAAAAUGCUGGAUAGGUCCUUUGUUUAUGCUAGUGAGGUCACAUUAUCCAAAUCCAAGAAUGAUUCCACAUUUAAUUGAAACAAGGAUUAGGAGGAAUGUGGGAUAAGUUUCCUGUUAG